rnacentral:rRNA from 1 species
CACGCAGGCGGUCGUGUAAGUUUGGGGUUACAGCUCCCGGCUCAACUGGGAGAGCGCCUUGAAGACUGCAGGACUUGAGGGCCAGAGAGGGACACAGAAUUCCGGGUGUAGUGGUGAAAUGCGUAGAUAUCCGGAGGAAUACCAAAGGCGAAGGCAGUGUCCUGGCUGGUGACUGACGCUGAGGUGCGAAAGCUAGGGGAGCGAACGGGAUUAGAUACCCCGGUAGUCCUAGCCGUAAACGAUGACCACUAGGUGUGGGAGGUAUCGACCCCUUCCGUGCCGUAGCUAACGUGAUAAGUGGUCCGCCUGGGGAGUACGGUCGCAAGAUUAAA